UAAGAAUAAAUAUAAUAUCCUUAAGCAAAAAAAAACAUAAUUAUUAACAUUCUUAUCCCUAAAACUGCUUCUAAAAAAUUUGAAGCGACAACACCGGAGCUUAAACGCCUGAGCCAUACGCGUAGUGUCAUCUGUCAAACGGCCUCUGUUUAUUUUUGGGAUUCGUGUAUUUUCAUUAAUUUUUGGUUUAAAAACGAAAAAGGCCACAUUUUAGUGUUUUUUUAAAUUGCUAGGAUGGCAAAAACUUGUGUCGUUUGUGCCGCAUCAUGAUAAAAAGGUGAUUCAAGCCGAUCUUUUCACAAAUUGCCCAAUAUAUGCCCAAAGGGAACAAUGGAUUUCAUUAAUGGAAAUCAACAUAAUUAAAAAGAACAUAUUUGUUUGUUCAGAUCACAGCCUUAGAAGUGAUUUCUUACAUAAGGAAGAUAAUAUUAUCAGUAGCCAGACUUUAUUAAAAAAAUCAGCUCUACCUCAAAGGAUUUCUGAUGCACUGGUUAAAAACACAGCAGCCGAUAAUUCAGUUAAUUUACCAAGUGAUUUACCCUUCAAAGCUGCAGGGGUAGUUUUCCUGAAGAGUGCAAAAACUUCUUUAGCUUCCAAAAUGGUAUAUAGUACUAACAGUGAAGCUAAUAUAGACAAAUCUGAUUAUUCAUCAUCAACAAUAACUGCAUCUGAGAUUAAUAGUUACCGUGGGGUCUAGGUCAACAAUUACUAUUUCUUAUCCAAGCCGUUUUUGUUUAACUGCUACACAUUCCCUGACUCUGCCAAGAAAAAGGUAAAAAUAC